CCAUGGCAAAAAAGGUAAAAACAUGGAAGCAUAAACAAUAACUAGAAUUCGGUCCAUCCUCUCAACAAAAGCGAUGAAGCUAAAGGAGUAAGACGAAGCGAUGACGAUUUUGAUUGCUCUUCCCGAAUUUGUUGUUGGAGAAGAAGAGACCUGCAAGGAGUAGGAGCCGAAUUGCGAAAGAAAGAUAACACUAGAAGCCUUUCAAAGGACGUCCGAGAAUGGGCCGUCAACGGCAGAUAACUCAAAAUCCUCGAUCACAUGCGUCUCCUCCGAUAUGUGAGAGCGACUUGAACAUCACAUCCAUGAGCUUUCCCAAAAACGGAACCUCACAAACCAAAUUAUGUGAAACCUGCGAGCUCCCUCUACCAAGUUCAAACCCGAAGUCGGCUAGCACAGAGCAAGAUAAAAAAUUCCAAAACCACAUCGAUCACCAAUGGCCUUACUAGCUCCUCUAGGACACAGACCAAAACGCAACAAAAGGCGAAAACCCAAAACAAAACUUACUCCAUCUCAUAGCAACGUCAACAGCAAGACACGAUCAAAACCAGGGCUUGAAGCAAAAUCAAAGAGUCGAGAAUACCAGUGGCGAGGAUGAAAUGAAGACAGCCAAACAGCCACCACCGGAGGCUAAACCGUCAUCAUAGCCAGCACCACCGCAACGAAAACUCUCCUAAUAGUCCUGCUGCCGUCCUCUAGCAGAAUUGGCCAACAGAGAAGUCUCCAUCCAAACGCCAAGUCAUAACGUCGAGGCUAGCACCCAAAAAGACCGUCGAGACAGCAUUGCUCUGAAAACCUAUCAGAAGAAGCGUGACAAGAGUAGCCGAGGCCACGGAGACCAAAGAGGUGAAGCUUCACCUCAGCCCCCGAAGACCACUCCAGACGCCACAAGCUCCAGCUGACGAAGACGACCUACACGGCGGGGACGGAGGCAACUAACUUCUGGACCACCGCCGUCCUCAAACGAUGAGUCCGUCAAGAAGCAGCCUGAACCGCCGGUGAGAGUAGAUCGAGCGGCGGAUCCUCCAGGCAAAGACAUGGAAGGGAGACCGAAGCACACAGAGGAGCUUCGACCGAGAGAGGAGCGCAAAACGAAGAUUGCGACCUCUCACUCGCCGCGUUUCAGAGCAAAUCACAACCCAAUGACCGCUUCAAACUCCGGGGAACAAAAC
rnacentral:lncRNA from 1 species